rnacentral:lncRNA from 10 species
CUUUUCUCAGUGAGCCUCCAGGGUUCUCUUCUGGUGAAUGUGGACUGAAUAAAGACCAGUGGUGGUCAAACUCUUCCCACAGGUGUAAUCUAAGUGGUAACGUGUAAGAAUGGAGUCACUCUGGAGGAGAUCUGAGGCCCCACCCAUUUGGCCUUCCCCUGGUCCGUAUGGGGAAAGCUGUGGCACCUUGGAGGAACAGAGAAGACUCCUCAACAUGGUGUGGAUAAGUGAGACUCUUCUUGAUCCAAAAUCCUACAACCCUGCCAAGUCCUCACCUCGGGGAAGGGGAAGCUCCAAAUCCCUUCUCAGAUGAGGUGCAGGGAAUGGGGCUGCUAUGCUCAGGCCAGAAGGGAGUGGUUUAUGUCCCUGAAACAGGGGAAGUAGGGCAGAGCAGGCAGAUGCUCAGGUUCAGAAGGGGUGGAGUAUGGGCUAGCUGAAAAAUCUACCUUAAAGCCUCCACUUUUGAGAGACCUCUAUUUCCUCUUGAGAUUUUCAAGCAUUAUAAAUAAUAAUAAUAAUAAUAAUAAUAAUAAUAAUAAAGACAGCACCUCAGACUUUCCUCAUGGUUUUCACCGAGUACUGAAGAAAAAGCAUCAGCAAUGCCCUGGAGCUGAAGAAUUCAGGUCAGAGCUAAAAAGUGACUUUGCUGACGGGGCUGACUGUUGGGUCCUAAAAAAUACCAAGAGAAACUGGGAGAGACCUUUCCUGAAAAAAACAAAAAAAUGCACAGAACCCCAGCCCAACGCAGAGAUUUCAAUUUCAUCUCCCUCUUUUUAACUGUGUUUUCCUUUAUUUGUUUUUUGUUUUUGUGGAUAACCAUUGCUUCAUACUCUUGAGGCUGGACUGGCUUUAUGGAGAUGAGAGAGAUAAGGCAAUGAAGUCACCUGCCCUUGUCAGGAGGUUCCACCAUCUCUUCAGGGGACAUGCCAAAGGAGAGAUGCCAGAUAAACAAAGAGAACAACAACAACAAAAAAAUCUUGGCUUUGACUUCUGAAAAAAAAAAAAAACAGAUGAAACUUAAAGGUGAGACAAGAGAGUUCUGAUUUGCCAGAGCUGAAGAUGUUAUAACUCAAAAGACCAAAGGCUGGAAGAGGCAGAGAAGCAGAGCACACUAGGAGAUUGGAAGAGAGUGAGUUAGACCUGCCUCAUACAUCCUCCACACUGACAUCCAGUGUUGACCAAAGUGGGGCUAUAAGAAGUAAACCUCUGAAAAGGAGAAGACCAUGCAGAAAACCACGGAAGGGCCUCCUCAAGUUUUCUGUGCCCCUGAACAGGGCCAAGAAGAAGCUGAGAGGGCUAGUAAACCCAGAGAAAUCUAACAGAGAAGAAAGAGGAUUCACCGUGACCUUAGUGGACAAGGCACAGAAAUAAGACAGCUCCUCCUACGGUCCAGAGCCACAAUGUGUCUCAGAGGCCAGGACUGCCUGUGGACACCAUGCCCACUGCCUGCAGCUUCUGGAAGGGGCUGCUGACAGGUAAGGGGAGGUGGACUGCAUGCUCAGCUCUUCUUCCUCCCUCUGUCCACGGCUAAGUUGCCAACUCAAAGUUUCCUUUUAUUUCACCUCUGACCUCUCCCUUGUACCCAUGCCCUCCUCUUCAUUUGAACUGCCACCACCUCAGGUCAGCCCUGUUGCCUGUCAUAAAUUAUUGUGAGAGCUGCAUGGAAAGAGGUGUCAAAUCAAAGGAAAAGGUCAGCCUUCUCUUGCUCAAUUUUGUCCAGGUAAAGCAUUAUUACUUAAAUGUUUCAUUUCAAAGAAUGACUCUGGGGAUUUAUCAAUGCCCUCACUCCCCCAAAUGUGUUCUUAUCCUGUAGGAAAACACUGAUCAAAUCCAUAUUAGAUAGUUUGGCCAGGCCUAGUAGCUCACAUCUGUAAUCCCAGCACUUUGGGAGGCCGAGGCAGGAGGACUGCUUGAGGCCAGGAGUUCAAGACCAGCCUGAGCAACAUGGCGAAACCUUGUCUCUACUAAAAAUACAAAAAUCAGCUAGGCGUGGUGGUGCACGCCUCUACUCCCAGCUACUAGGGAGGAUGAGGCAGGGGAAUUGCUUGAACCCAGGAGGCAGAGGUUGCAGUGAGCUGAGAUCGCACCACUGCACUCCAGCACGGGUGACAGAGCGAGAUUUCAUCUCAAAAAAAAAAAAAAAAAGAAUCCAUAUUAGAUAGUUAAACAUGUACCCUAAUAGGUGAUUAUUUUCUCCUGCAUUAGGAUACUGUUGGUACUGUCAUAAAUUAACUACCACCAACAGGUAGCUUCUGCUUCCCCUCAUGCUUACGUGAAAACUUUGCUGUAAGUCAGAGCCUAGAAAUGAGGUCUUUAACAAUGAAGGACAGUCUUAGAACCUCAUGGAAAGAAUCGUACCAAGUUUGAACUACUGACACUUCAAUUAACAGACUCAUUGGUGCAGGCUUCCAAGGUGGUAUUUCUUAGAUAAUUUCCAAAGGGUGUUCAUAAAAGCAAACUGUUGACCCAAGAUCUGGUGGAGCAAAAAUAAUUAUAUUGGACUAAAGGAACUGAUGAGGAAAUAGAAUUUUAGUUGUUUUAUAAUAUUGUUGGUAUUAUUUUUAAUGUUCUAUUUUCUGAUAUCACAGAGUGUUUUCUGUUUUUUCCUGAUCUCUCACCAUUAACUUAGUAGUCUGUGCUUUUGUAAACAUUUUGAAAUGAAAGAUUUUUAAAUGGUAAUCUUGUUCUCACUGGCCUUUCAGAAUUCAGGAACAACACUUUGUCUGAGUCUCUUUACUUUUAAUGGCAAUGGGGUUACUUGUAUAGAUUCAGUAAGAAUCUGUUCUCAUUUUUACUCGUAAAUAAUUGAACAAAUAGAUGGCACAGUCAAGGCCACACCUGGAGUGUCAGUCUCAUCUGCUUAAAUAUGAAGCCCAUCAUUAAGAAACAAGGGUUGUUUUUUAUUUGCAAAAUCAUGAGGCCCUCCCAGAAACCUGGACUGUUACCUUAUAAUGGCAGACUUGGAGGCCAUCUCUCUUAAGGAGAGAUGCAUUCACCCUCAUUUGUAGAUGCUACAGGCAAAAUAGUGGCAAUGACUUUAUUUUAUUUUUUAUUUUUGAGAUGGAGUCUCACUCUAUUGCUCAGGUUGAAGUACAGUGGCGCAAUCUUGACUCACUGCAACCUCCACCUCCCGAGUUCAAGCAAUUCUCCUGCCUCAGCCCCCUGAGUAGCUGGGAUUACAGGCACCAGCCACCACACCUGACUGAUUUUUGUAUUUUUGGUAGAGAUGGGUUUUCGUCAUGUUGGCCAGGCUGGCCUUGAACUCCUGACCUCCAGCUAUCCACUCACCUUGGUCUCCCAAAGUGCUGGGAUUACAGGUGUGAGCCACCACACCCGGCUGGCAACAUGGCAAUGUCUAGCCUCAGAAUAAAAGCAAUAAACAAUAUACCUAGAAUAAGAGAGGCUUCUGAAAUUUCCUAAGAUUUUUAAGAAAUCUCCAGACAGAAGUUAAUUUUCUGGGCUACGUAGUUGCUUAACACCACAUGGCUUUAGAUUUUCUGACCAGACUACAAAGAGGCUUAUGUAUAUUAGUUAACUUUUCUUACUGCAUUUAUAACUAAAUGAAUCAGGCCUAACUGCAAUGAGAUUAGCUUUUUAGAAAUCAAGAAUAAUAACUGGAGAUUAUUUGUAAUCACAGUGUUUCAUGGUUUACAACGUCCUUCCACAUCCUGACUUAAACCUCCUAAAGAGCCUUUAAACACAAUAUUCCUGAAGUCACCAUGAUCACAUUUAGAUUUGAAAUCUUCAUCAUUUAUUUGCCCUGGAAAAGACAACAUAGCUUAUAAAGAGCCAGAUAGAUAAACGCUCAUACCCCAUUCAUUCCACUCCAUUACAAAUCACUCCUAGAUUUUAAAACAUAAGCAUACACACACACACACACACACACACAGAGAGAGAGAGAGAGAGAGAGAAAUGCAACAAUUUCCAAGAAAAGCCAACUACAGCUGAGAAAGCUGAAUUCCACAGAAGGCAAAUUCAAACGUCUAUCUUGGGUCUCACCAAGGAAGGCUCAAAAAGAGGCUGAGACCAGUGGGACAACAUUACUUUCUCCAUCAUGAAAACAUCCAAAUGAGCCCAAGCUUUCCUGGCCCUCUCAGCCACAGAAGAGAAACAGUUACCCUUAGGGAGGUAUUCUCUUUCAUCUGUCCCCUGGCUCUGUGCUGCCUUACAAGCAGAAUAUAUUAAUAAAGAAAUACUUUAGGGGAGAACUCUCUCCACUGUUGUGACAUCUCUGCAGUCUCUGUUUUGAUAUUUGGCCUUGAGAAGUUCAAAGGAUUCAAAAGAUUAGAGUUCAAGAAAGACUAAGAUGUACCCCAGGGCAGGUCCGGUCUUAGAUGCUGAAAAACAGCUCCUCCCACACCAUAGCGAAUAUGACCUCUAAAAGAACCUAGUGGAUAUCCUGGUCUAACAGGAUUAUUUUCAAAGGCUCUUGUUCAUCUUUUUAAUGGUAGUUGAAGGCAAUUCGGUUUAGGGUCCCUAAAUCUGGAGUACUUACCUGUCAUGUCUGCUCAUUUCUCCAGUUUGUUCCUAGUGCCUGGGACAGAGCUCGGCCACAUCAACCCUCUGUGACCCCCCAUUCCUGCCCACGAAUUCUCUGAAGGAAACCCUCACUCACCACUCCUUUCUGCCUUGUGCUUUGGUGGCUCAGGCUCUGGGAGACAGGGACAGGGCCCAUCACAGAGGGUGGCGAGGCUUUUGCCAGUAGAACAAGCAUGGAACUCCAAUUUGCACUGCAAAAGAGAGACACAACAGGUCUUAAGAAUGCAGCCAUAACAGACCCCUACCCCGCCUCCUAAGAAACAGCAGUGCCCUUUGCUUCACAAAAGCAAAGACAAAGCAGGGAGAGGUCGACCUCAGGUAGAGGUCUCAAUUACAGAAUACUAAAUAAGAAAUGGCCUUUUAUAUUUUACCAAAUGCAGAGGAUAACUUCUAAAAACACUGUGGAAGCCCUAGAAGACUUCCUUUAAUGAUGGUAAACCCUAC